rnacentral:rRNA from 1 species
GCAGGCACAUUGCAAAAGAAGGAAAAGCAGAAGAAACUGUCACGAGGAUACUUUAGCACAUCCAACAAUCUCGAAGGCAAACAUACGGAAUUUCCAUUUGUUAGCUAUGGAGACAUCCUUUCAGCAACAAAUUUUUUCGCUGAUUCCAACUUGCUUGGACGGGGAGGUUUUGGCAAUGUUUACAAGGGCACACUUGAAGGUGGAAAUGAGGUUGCUGUAAAAAGGCUUAGUCAGAGCUCCGGACAAGGUAUAGUGGAGUUCAAAAAUGAAGUAAUUCUAAUUGCCAAGCUGCAGCACAAGAACCUAGUCGGACUUCUUGGGUCGUGCAUUCAUGAAGACGAGAAGUUACUGAUCUACGAAUACUUACCUAACAAAAGCUUGGAUGUUUUUCUUUUCGAUGCUUCAUGA